rnacentral:lncRNA from 1 species
AGUUGCUGCUUGGGACGCGGGCUGCGCGGUUGGUGAACAGCCUUGCCGUUUUGCUGUCACGUACCUUCCCUGAGCCUGGGACGGAGGGGGCGCGCGCGUGUGCGUGUGUUGUGUGAGGGACAGCGGGACUCGGGCAGGGCCGUCUCCUGAUCCCUUUUCCCUUAGCGGAGGCGGCAGUGCGCACGCUGGUUUGCUCGCCGCCCACUUGGGAGCGGGCUCAGGGUGCGGAGUGCGUCUUCGGUUUUGUUUUUUGGUUUUUUGUUUUUUUUGAACUUGUGAGAGUCUUUUUCCCCUCCCUUUUCCAUUUUUAUUUUCUUUUGGCUCCGUGCCUCUAGGGCUGGUUUACCCGGCCCCUGAAUUACCGCUUCCUGACCCCGGUCGCCAAUCUUGCCCCAGGUUGCUCCCCGGCUCUGCCCCUGCCCCUCCCCGAGGGUGGGAAGCCUUGCCUAGUGGGUCUCUGAAGCGUAGCCGCACCUGCCUCAGUAUGCACGGGGUCAACGACCCUCCACUUUUUAUAAAAGACAUUAAGGCCGGACUGAAAAACUUAAAUGUCGUCUUUAUUGUCCUGGAGAUAGGUAAGUGAGGUCCGCAGCCCGCCCCACACCCUCGAGAGCUCGGACCUCUUCCCCGCCCGCGACCCCACGUGCUCCUGGCCCAGAAUCCUACCCGGGGACAGAAGUCAGUCACGUAGCGAGCCAGAGGAGGGUGAAAGAGCUCCCUCGAAUGAACUCCUUAUCUAACACACCUUUCCUUCUCCCCUUUUUGAUUUUUAAAUCUUCACAGGACGAGUGACCAAAACCAAAGACGGCCAUGAAGUGAGAUCCUGCAAAGUAGCUGAUAGAACGGGAAGCAUCACUAUUUCUGUGUGGGAUGAGAUCGGAGGGCUCAUACAGACAGGGGAUAUUAUUCGGUUGACCAGAGGGUAUGCAUCAAUGUGGAAAGGAUGCCUGACACUUUAUACUGGAAGAGGUGGUGAACUUCAAAAAAUUGGAGAUUUUGUAUGGUGUAUUCAGAAGUGCCAAAUUUCAGUGAGCCAAACCCAGAUUAUAGAGGACAGCAGAAUAGAGGGGUACAAAAUGAACAGAAGGAUAAACUGAGCACCAAUACAUUUGGACCAGUGGGAAAUGGUGAUCAGACUGGCCCUGAAUCUAGGGGAUAUCAUCUUCCAUAUGGCAGAAGCAAUGGUCCGGGACCUAUCAGUCCACAGCUACCAGGAACACCUAGUAGUCAAACAGUCAGGACCACAAUAAGUAACGCCAGAGAUCCGAGGAGAGCCUUUAAAAGAUGAUCUAAGCCAAAGAGACACAUGUAGUUUUUAAACUACAUGACCUACUUGAACACUUAGUGCACUUUUAUUUAUUCUUAACUGUGAAAACUUUGUCUCUUACGGGUUUCCUUUUAUAUUUUUGGUUUGUUGAAAAGAGUGGUUGGUUUUUACUGAAAAAACUGUUACACUGCUCAGUUACAUCCUAUUGAAGAAUAGGAACUCUGAAAGCAGGAACAUUUAUUUUUUGAGCAAGAACUUACUGGGUAUCACUUGAAAACCUGUCCCUGUUUCGAGGGUGAGUUACUUAAGACACCAGCUUAUAUAUAGCCUCUGUGAGUCUGGCUUCUGCAUAAACUUUGUAAUGUUUGUCAUAAUGUUUAAUGGAACUUGUCUUAAACUUGAAUAUUGCCACCUGAAGCAAUAACCACCCCAAGCCAGAAACUUGGACAGCAUUGUCAACAUUUUUGAGUAUUCCUGAUCUAGGAAUGGCUUGACUCCCUAGAGUGUCUGCCUGCCAUAAGGAUUUUUUCACAGACAGAAUCAGAAUCAUCCUAAACUCUUGUUUAUUGACCAGAUAACCAAAUUCUUCAUCAGAAUUAUGGAAUAAAAUAUGUAAUAUAACAAGUAAUUUUUAGAAGAAAACGGUUUAAGAUGAUGCUCUUAACAUUUGUUGCAAACAUUGAAGUUUACAUUGAAGAAAAAUUUACAACUGAGUCCCUGAAUGCUUUAUUUUUGAAGUUACCAUGUUAAAUAUUGAAGUGUAAUUGGAGGGAUUGAAGAGAGCUAUAACACCUUUAUUGGACAGUGGUCUCAUUGAUACUAGUUGUAUUUUUGAGGCAGGGUCUUUCUCUGUGCAGCCCUGGUUGGUUGGAACUUGUUAUAUAUAUAUAUAUAUCAGGUGGGUCUCUGAACUAUAGAUUGACCUGCCUCUCUCUUCCUGGAGCUGGGAUUAAAGUUGUGUAGCA